CUUGGUCAUUUAGAGGAAGUAAAAGUCGUAACAAGGUCUCCGUUGGUGAACCAGCGGAGGGAUCAUUACUAGAGUUGCAAAACUCCCUAAAACCCACUGUAAAUAUACCUAUUUUGGCUACUUCGGCAGGCGGUCCCAGGGCGGGACCAUGGCCUUUUUAGGCGCCUGCCAAAGCCUAUAAAACUCUUACUGUUACUGUAUUCUGAGCAUAAAAACAAAUAAGUUAAAAUUUUCAAUUGUGGAUCUCUUGGUUCUGGCAUCGAUGAAGAACGCAGCGAAAUGCGAUAAGUAAUGUGAAUUGCAGAAUUCAGCGAAUCAUCGAAUCUUUGAACGCACAUUGCGCCCAUUAGUACUCUAGUGGGCAUGCCUGUUCGAGCGUCAUUUCAACCCUCAAGCCAUUAGGCUUGGUGUUGGGGCUUUCUACAAUAUGUAGGCCCUGAAAGCCAGCGGCGGGCUCGCUGAGACUCCGAGCGUAGUAAAUCAUAGAAAUAUACUUUCCUCGCUUAGGGUGUCCAGUGGGUAGCACUUGCCGUAAAACCUUCAAAUUUAUAGAAAGUUGACCUCGGAUCAGGUAGGAAUACCCGCUGAACUUAAGCAUAUCAAUAAGCGGAGGA
rnacentral:rRNA from 1 species